CCUUAUUAGACAUUCUCCGGUAUUGAUAAGUGGCCUUUACGGAACUGGUUUUACAGGAACGACAGUAACAUUCCGCAUGCUCUUAACAACAGUAAACUUCUGACAUACUGUUAAAAAUGGCCACUUUUUGCUUCCCUGACCAGAUAGCUAGCAGUGUUUGUCCAAUAUGAAGGACAGCGUGAUGUUACACAACUGUAAGCUCCGCUUAGAAGCUGUUGACUUUAGCCUUCUGAUAAGACAACGAGAGUUGGGGUGGCGGUUCGGCUGCCUUGUCAGACUGUCAUCACUGAGAGAGUGAGGAGGCGUCCAUGUGUCUGGGGAAUGUUCCGCGUUGAAGGAUGCACCGUACGUCCUGAGGAACAGACUGUACUGAGACCUGUGGAACCAAUCAGUGUUCAGUGCCAGAGUCUCCAACCUGCUCAUUGUGUGUGCCUACUGCAGAUUACAAUGUGUCUGUCUGACUCAAUGCAACAUUCA